GUCAUCAUUUAACCAUUUACUUUCAAAAGCAAAAAAACUUAAAGAUGAACAGUGACGACAAAAAAGAAAGAAAAGAUGAAACAGUGAAAGCCAAGUACAGUCAUUUUGAUUAAACCGUAUUCAUUAACCAACUUUUCACUAACUAUGGUAAACCAACCCCUGACCCGAACCGAACCGUUCUUGUUUUUAACCAAUGAUUCAUUCAAUCAGAGUCUUUAUCCGUAGAAGUCAAUACCUCCGUCUCAGCCGCACCCAAAUCCGGAGCUAUUCCGGUGCCGUUGUACUGCUGAAUCACCAAAACCGAUGCUUUUGUCGAAGAUUCCGGCGAAAUCAACAAGCUUCCUACAGGUCCAAGCUCCGGACAUUCACUAUUCUCCCUAAUCGCCAAUGCAAUUUCUCCACCUGGCAUUCUACCAACCAAAAACAAAUUGCUCCGCCGCACUUCCUCAAUCGCCGAUCUAACAUCCACGGCGGCGUUUUCAAUCUGUUUCUCCACGAACUUAACCGAUUCGUCCACCGAAGAUAUCUUCCUUAUCUCAGACAUAAUCUCCUCAUCCGAUUUCAGAUUCUUCACACUCUGAUUCUCGUUGUUAUUGUUACUCACUUCAACAUUAACAAUCUCUCCGACUCUCUCCGGCGAUACCACAAAUCGGAAAACAGUCAAAACAAUUCCGGGAUGCUCCGCCAUACGUAAUCCAUAAGCCAACGCUUCACGAUCAUCAGGACCACCGAAGAACAGAACAACAACAGAGUAAGAAACAUCUUGAGCUGAGACUUGACUUGAACCUCCGAGUCCACGGUCAACGAAUAUACCAACCGAACAAGGAGCUUGAAGCAAAACUCUCCGGUUAACCCAACGGUAAUCGCCACGUGUAGUCUCUAACGAACCAUCAAGCUGUUGAUGCUUGUGAAACGGAAGAAUCACAAUGGCUGCUUUUUUUCUUACAGCUGUUGUGCAGAUAUCUUCAUGAAUAUCAGACAUUGAAGAGAUUGCUGUCAUUGGUCGGACAUUGACUCUGCUUAGCUGUUGAAAAGCUUGGAAAGCAACUACUACUUGAUCAGCGUCUGCGUUUACUCCUCUUCUGUUCCAAAACGGCAUUCCGUUUUUCCGAACUUUAUGAACCAUUAGAAUAGCUGAUGAUCUCUCUGAUAGUUCCCGUAAGUGGAGAGCGUAAACGCAGAGCCCUUCGCCUUUUUCGAUACCUCUUGAUGCUUCUAGGAGGUUUAUCAUUGAAGGAAUGCUUCCUGCUCCGUGGAAACAUGUGAGGAUUCGAAGCUGUGUGUUUGUGUUCUCUCGUUCUACUGCCCUGUGUUUGUAUUCUCCUUCUUUCUUCGCUCUUCUCGCUGGUUUGUAGACUGCCAUUACGACUGGUGUGGUGAUGAAGGUUGUGAAGAGAGCCAUUAGAACCAUUAUGGCAAAUGUCUGAUCAUUAAGAACCUGAGGACACAACAAAAGAAAGAUUUAAGUUAUAAACUUUCAUGACGCAAAUUGUUAAGGAUUUGAAAAAGUUAUACCUUUCGAUCUUUUCCGAUGUUGAGGACGAUGAGUUCGACCAAUCCUUUAGUGUUCAUGAGGAAUCCUAAUGUUAUUGCUUCUCGCAUAGGUAUCUUGAAGGCGAGGGAAACACCGAGAGUGCCCAAUAUCUUACCGAAACAAGCUGUGGCGGUGACUAAAACCAGAAGACCCCAAGACUGAGCUCCUUGGAUCGUUGCCACAUUAGUUUUCAGACCACUUGCCACAAAGUAAAGCGGCAGGAAGAGACCGGAUACAAGAUCUUCCACCUUCUCAACUAGUGCACCAGCAAAAGGUCCUUCCUUUGGAAUCAAAACACCCACCACAAAGGCACCAAACAUGGAGUGGAUUCCAAUGGCAUCAGUUAUGAAUCCACAAACAAGAACUACAGCCAAAGUGGCACAGAUGUAGGUUUCCUCGAUAGGUUCUCCCUCGUGGCACCUCCGGGAAAUCCAUCUAAAGAUUGGUGGAAUGAUGAAAGACGCACCGAUAACAAAAGCACACCCGGAAAGGAAAACCCAGAGAGAGACAAGGGGAGAGGUAUUGGAUCCCGAGAGAGCAAUGGCUAGAGCAAGUAGAAUCCAAGCUGCCACAUCGUUAACGGCAGCUGCCGACAUAGCAAGUCGUCCUAUCUCAGUAGUUAGAAGCUUUAGCUCCGCUAAGAUACGGGCCAACACAGGGAAUGCAGUGAUAGAGAGUGCCACACCCAUGAAGACGAGAAACGCGGUACUAUUCACUCCUUUGGAGAUUGUUGCUUUUAAAACGAAUGAAGAACCAAUGCCAAGAGCAAACGGGAGGGUUAUUCCAGCCAAGGCAAUUCCCAAAGCCUUUUUCCCGGUGCGACGAAGGGCUUUGGUAUCAAUCUCUAGACCAGCAAGGAAAAGGAAGAAGAGAAGGCCGAGAUUAGCCAGAGUUUCAAGAACAGUCAAGCUUUUCUUCGGGAACACAGCGUCUAGAAAAGCCUUGGAACGACCAAGAAGAGAAGGUCCAAGCAUAAUCCCACCCUGCAAAUCAACAGACUAAAUCAUUCACCAAAAAAACAGUACUGAUCAAGAGUCAAGAAAUUGACAAAAGAAAAAAAACUUACAAUAACUUCAGCAAUAACACGAGGCUGUCUCAAAGGUCUUAAAAGGUAAGCAAGAACACGAGUGAGAACUAUAACAAUAACUAUCUGCAGAAUCGCAAGAGGUAACGCAAAGUCUAUAGGGUUAUCUCCUUGGAAAACUCCAUUAGAGGUUGCUUUCAUCGGAGCAGGACAAGCUUUUGUAGAAUUUGUAGCCAUCCUUGCAGACUAAACCUUGUUCCCACGUCCCAGAAGAGUAGAGAAACUUCUUCAAAACCCCUAUUAAAAAAAACAAUCAAGCUUCGAUCUUUAUGUUGAUAAACAAAAAAAGCUUCGAUCUUUAGAAUUCUUAUAUUCUUAGAAUCCAAUUAAGAAUCAUA